GAUGAACGCUGGCGGCGUGCCUAAUACAUGCAAGUCGAGCGAGCGGACGAGAAGCUUGCUUCUCUGAUGUUAGCGGCGGACGGGUGAGUAACACGUGGAUAACCUACCUAUAAGACUGGGAUAACUUCGGGAAACCGUAGCUAAUACCGGAUAAUAUUUUGAACCGCAUGGUUCAAAAGUGAAAGACGGUCUUGCUGUCACUUAUAGAUGGAUCCGCGCUGCAUUAGCUAGUUGGUAAGGUAACGGCUUACCAAGGCAACGAUGCAUAGCCGACCUGAGAGGGUGAUCGGCCACACUGUGACGGAGACACGGUCCAGCCUCCUACGGGAGGCAGCAGUAGGGAAUCGUCCGCAAUGGGCGAAAGCCUGACGGAGCAACGCCGCGUGAGUGAUGAAGGUCUUCGGAGCGUAAAACUCUGUUAUUAGGGAAGAACAUAUGUGUAAGUAACUGUGCACAUCUUGAGGGUACCUAAUCAGAAAGCCACGGCUAACUACGUG
rnacentral:rRNA from 1 species